CUUUCGACCGAAAGUUGGAAUAAAAGAAAAAGAUAAUAUCGUACGUCAUAAACACAUGAUUUAUACAAGUAUGGUUUUUUAAAAGUGGCUUCUUGGCAUCCCGUAUUUCGCCCGGACCAUUCCUCUUCUUAUUCUCACCCACUUUGGUGAGAAGAUUUUGUGCUUCUUCUUAAUAAGUACCAUGCAUUUUGCAUACGGGAUGCAACAUUUUGUGGUAUUUUGUUUUGCUCAGGGCAUUCGAUUGAACAUUUUUUUUUAGUUUUCUUCGUGUUUACGUUCGUUUAGUAAAUUUUUUCGGUCGUCGAAGCACGAAGCACUUCCAAGCAAAUAAGCGCCUGUUUUCCGGAAGAACUGGACAUUUCGCAAUCGUACCACUAGAACAAUGCAGAACAGUCAAUUCUAAACCAACUGCCGAAGACGGAUCACUCUUCACCACGACAAUGCGAGCACUCACACAUCGGCUCAAACAACUAAAUUUUUGAGCACUUAAAAAUCGAUAUGAUAAGCCGUCCGCAGUAUAGUCCUGACUUGGCACCGAAUGACUUCUUUUUAUUCCCAAUGCAUGUUUUGGAGAUACCUCAAUCAGAGUGGCAAAAGUGCUUCGACAAUUGGUUCAAACGCGCGCAAAAGUGUAUUUUAUUAUUCUCACCCUCUUUGGUGAAGAUGCUAGCUUUGCUCACCCUCAUUGCUGAGGAGUCAUUUACAGUCGGUUUGUGUUGAUUGCAAAGAAUACAACGUGGUGUUGUGCAUAAGAAGAUAUAUUUAUUAUUGAUGAUGCAAAAGCUGCAUUUAAUUUCCUGACAGUUGUUUGGAUACAGAAUAGCUACUCCACAUUGCAGACAGCGUUUUUUACAGCGGCAACGGAUGGCAAUGUGGCCAAGCCUGCCACAAUUUGUGCAAAAUAUUUUAACUUCAGUUACAAUUGUAUUAUGUGUCACUUUGAUUGUAAAUAAAGCUAUAUAUUGAAAUGG
rnacentral:sRNA from 1 species